rnacentral:rRNA from 1 species
CCUACGGGUGGCAGCAGUGAGGAAUAUUGGUCAAUGGGCGUAAGCCUGAACCAGCCAAGUAGCGUGCAGGAUGACUGCCCUACGGGUUGUAAACUUCUUUUAUACAGGGAUAAAGUGCGUCACGUGUGCUUUUUUGUAUGUACCUCAUGAAUAAGGACCGGCUAACUCCGUGCCAGCAGCCGCGGUAAUACGGAAGAUCCGAGCGUUAUCCGGAUUUAUUGGGUUUAAAGGGAGCGUAGAUCGGAUGUUAAGCCAGUUGUGAAAGUUCGCGGCUCAACCGUAAAAUUGCAAUUGGUACUGGCAUCCUUGAGUGCAGGUGAGGUAGGCGGAAUUCGUGGUGUAGCGGUGAAAUGCUUAGAUAUCACGAAGAACUCCGAUUGCGAAGGCAGCCUACGAAACUGCCACUGACGUUGAUGCUCGAAAGUGUGGGUAUCGAACAGGAUUAGAUACCCUUGUAGUC